UUGUUUACCCAGAAGGUGAAAGGGAGUGGGAAGAUUAUGGGGAGGAGAACUGUCGCUGGUCAGGUUGUUAAACAGCAACACACUUUCACUAUUGAAGUGCAGACGACAGAGUAAAAGUUCUUUCUGAAAAGCAUAGCCGUGGUGCCACAGCAGCAAGAAAGGUUAUGAGAGAAAGGAAAAUAAAGUUAGGCUAUAUAUGUACUAAAAGAUGGAAGACUUCAAAAGCCUGAUCAUGUGAAGAAGGCUGGCUUGUCAAGUAAAGACGAGAGGAAAAAUGAGAAUCAAACUCAGAGGUCUAGACAAGACAAUCAUUCACUUGUUGCUUCACAGGGGGGACAUAAGAAUCCAACCCAGUUGAGAAAUAUGAAUCCCCCUUUCCACUCCCACAAUUCCCAUAGAUAUGCUCCUCGACCACACGUACGGUCCUCCACCACGUGCUCCUCGUCCAUACGCUCCUUUUAGUUCACAUCUUCCUCGUCCAAACAUUCCUCAUCUACAACAAAACCAAUCAAUCCAAAGACCACCAGCAGCUUUCUUCAACGGAAGACCUACUUCUAAUGCUUUGCAGUAACACUCAUUGGUACUGGUCUCGUUUGCAAGUAAACUUGAAUUGAGUUUGCACUUUUCUUUUUUUUUUUUUAAAUCUGGUUUCAAGGCCAUAGGAAACACUCACUUCUUGGGUCUUCUCUGUAAUACUGAAAGUUUUAUCGGAUCAUAAUUCUCU